CGUUCUGAAAAGAAACGCUAAUACCGCAUGAGACUACAGAGCUGCAUGGCUCAGUGGUCAAAGGAAGCAAUCCGCUGAAAGAUGGACUCGCGUCCGAUUAGAUAGUAGGCGGGGUAACGGCCCACCUAGUCGACGAUCGGUAGCCGGACUGAGAGGUUGAACGGCCACAUUGGGACUGAGACACGGCCCAGACUCCUACGGGAGGCAGCAUG
rnacentral:rRNA from 1 species